rnacentral:rRNA from 1 species
CCAAAGUCAUGGUUAAGUGGGAAACGAUGUGGGAAGGCACAGACAGCCAGGAUGUUGGCUUAGAAGCAGCCAUCAUUUAAAGAAAGCGUAAUAGCUCACUGGUCGAGUCGGCCUGCGCGGAAGAUGUAACGGGGCUAAACCAUGCACCGAAGCUGCGGCAGCGACACUAUGUGUUGUUGGGUAGGGGAGCGUUCUGUAAGCCUGCGAAGGUGUGCUGUGAGGCAUGCUGGAGGUAUCAGAAGUGCGAAUGCUGACAUAAGUAACGAUAAAGCGGGUGAAAGCC